UAAUCCUACGGGACGCAGCAGUAGGGAAUUUUCGUCAAUGGGCGCACGCCUGAACGAGCGAUGCCGCGUGAGUGAAGAAGGCCUUCGGGUCGUAAAGCUCUGUUGCGGGGGAAAAAAGGCAGCAUCAGGAAAUGGGUGCUGACUGAUGGUGCCCCGCCAGAAAGUCACGGCUAACUACGUGCCAGCAGCCGCGGUAAUACGUAGGUGGCGAGCGUUAUCCGGAAUGAUUGGGCGUAAAGGGUGCGCAGGCGGUCCUGCAAGUCUGGAGGGCAACGCCUGAGCGCAAC
rnacentral:rRNA from 1 species